CGCCUGUAAUCCCAGCACUUCGGGAGGCCGAGGCGGGCGGAUCACGAGAUCAGGAGAUCGAGAUCAUCCUGGCUAACACAGUGAAACCCUGUCUCUACUAAAAAAUACAAAAAAUUAGAGGGGCGUGGUGGCGAGCUCCUAUGUAACUUCCCUGCAUUUGUGAUUUUCCCUCUUAAAGAUAACUCUGAAAUUAGAAAUCAAUAUAACGGGUGCUCUGAAAACACUCAUUAAAACAUUCUAAUUAGGCAAAGGUAUAUACUACAAUAGAAGGAAGUAGAAUUUUUUUUUUUUUUUUUUUUUUUUUUUUAAGGUGGAGUUUCACUCUUGUCACCCAGACUGGAGUGCAAUGGCGUAAUCUCAGCUCACUGCAA
rnacentral:lncRNA from 1 species